CCUACGGGAGGCAGCAGUGAGGAAUAUUGGUCAAUGGACGAGAGUCUGAACCAGCCAAGUAGCGUGAAGGAUGACUGCCCUAUGGGUUGUAAACUUCUUUUAUAUGGGAAUAAAAUGUUCCACGUGUGGGAUUUUGUAUGUACCAUAUGAAUAAGGAUCGGCUAACUCCGUGCCAGCAGCCGCGGUAAUACGGAGGAUCCGAGCGUUAUCCGGAUUUAUUGGGUUUAAAGGGAGCGUAGGUGGAUUGUUAAGUCAGUUGUGAAAGUUUGCGGCUCAACCGUAAAAUUGCAGUUGAAACUGGCAGUCUUGAGUACAGUAGAGGUGGGCGGAAUUCGUGGUGUAGCGGUGAAAUGCUUAGAUAUCACGAAGAACUCCGAUUGCGAAGGCAGUUCACUGGACUGCAACUGACACUGAGUCUCGAAAGUGUGGGUAUCAAACAGGAUUAGAUACCCGAGUAGUC
rnacentral:rRNA from 1 species